UACGUAGGUGGCAAGCGUUGUCCGGAAUUAUUGGGCGUAAAGCGCGCGCAGGUGGUUCUUUAAGUCUGAUGUGAAAGCCCACGGUGCAACCGUGGAGGGUCAUUGGAAACUGGGAGGCUUGAGUAUAGGAGAGAAGAGUGGAAUUCCACGUGUAGCGGUGAAAUGCGUAGAUAUGUGGAGGAACACCAGUGGCGAAGGCGACUCUCUGGUCUGUAACUGACGCUGUGGCGCGAAAGCGUGGGGAGCAAACAGG
rnacentral:misc_RNA from 1 species